rnacentral:rRNA from 1 species
UCCUACGGGAGGCAGCAGUAGGGAAUCUUCCGCAAUGGACGAAAGUCUGACGGAGCAACGCCGCGUGAGUGAUGAAGGCUUUCGGGUCGUAAAACUCUGUUGUUAGGGAAGAACAAGUGCUAGUUGAAUAAGCUGGCACCUUGACGGUACCUAACCAGAAAGCCACGGCUAACUACGUGCCAGCAGCCGCGGUAAUACGUAGGUGGCAAGCGUUAUCCGGAAUUAUUGGGCGUAAAGCGCGCGCAGGUGGUUUCUUAAGUCUGAUGUGAAAGCCCACGGCUCAACCGUGGAGGGUCAUUGGAAACUGGGAGACUUGAGUGCAGAAGGGGAAAGUGGAAUUCCAUGUGUAGCGGUGAAAUGCGUAGAGAUAUGGAGGAACAACAGUGGCGAAGGCGACUUUCUGGUCUGUAACUGACACUGAGGCGCGAAAGCGUGGGGAGCAAACAGGAUUAGAUACCCUGGUAGUCCACGCCGUAAACGAUGAGUGCUAAGUGUUAGAGGGUUUCCGCCCUUUAGUGCUGAAGUUAACGCAUUAAGCACUCCGCCUGGGGAGUACGGCCGCAAGGCUGAAACUCAAAGGAAUU